rnacentral:ncRNA from 1 species
AAAACCAAGUCUCUAAGCAAUGGAUGUCUUGGCUCCUCACACGAUGAAGAACGUGGCAUAAUGUGUUAAGUAACCGGAGUUGCAAACAUCAUGACAGGUUAAUCUUUGAAUGCAAAUUGCGCUAAACUCGAUCUCGGUCGAGAAGCAUGGGUGUGACAGUACUACAUCUUUUAUAAUAAUUCUUAUUCUAAGCGAAUAAGUAAAUAAUAUAUAAGACAAACAACACGUAGUCUGCCAUACGCAGGAAGACCCGCUGAACUGAAGCAUCUCAUUAAGCGGAGGAAAAGAAACUAACUAGGAUUCCCUUAGUAAAGGCGAUCGAAAAGGGAACAGCCCAACGUCUUAAUCCCGCAAGGGAAAUGUAGUCGGUUCACCUAUUGCACUG